rnacentral:rRNA from 1 species
GGUUAAGUGACUAAGCGUACACGGUGGAUGCCUAGGCAGUCAGAGGCGAUGAAGGGCGUGCUAAUCUGCGAAAAGCGUCGGUAAGGUGAUAUGAACCGUUAUAACCGGCGAUACCCGAAUGGGGAAACCCAGUGUGUUUCGACACACUAUCAUGUCAUGAAUACAUAGUGGCAUGAGGCGAACCGGGGGAACUGAAACAUCUAAGUACCCCGAGGAAAAGAAAUCAACCGAGAUUCCCCCAGUAGCGGCGAGCGAACGGGGAGGAGCCCAGAACCUGAAUCGGCUUGUGUGUUAGUGGAAGCGUCUGGAAAGUCGCGCAGUAAAGGGUGAUAGCCCCGUACACUAAAAUGCACAGGUCGUGAGUUCGAUGAGUAGGGCGGGACACGUGACAUCCUGUCUGAAUAUGGGGGGACCAUCCUCCAAGGCUAAAUACUCCUGACUGACCGAUAGUGAACCAGUACCGUGAGGGAAAGGCGAAAAGAACCCCGGCGAGGGGAGUGAAAUAGAACCUGAAACCGUGUACGUACAAGCAGUGGGAGCACCUUCGUGGUGUGACUGCGUACCUUUUGUAUAAUGGGUCAGCGACUUAUAUUUUGUAGCAAGGUUAACCGUAUAGGGGAGCCGUAGGGAAACCGAGUCUUAACUGGGCGAAUAGUUGCAAGGUAUAGACCCGAAACCCGGUGAUCUAGCCAUGGGCAGGUUGAAGGUUGGGUAACACUAACUGGAGGACCGAACCGACUAAUGUUGAAAAAUUAGCGGAUGACUUGUGGCUGGGGGUGAAAGGCCAAUCAAACCGGGAGAUAGCUGGUUCUCCCCGAAAGCUAUUUAGGUAGCGCCUCGUGAACUCAUCUUCGGGGGUAGAGCACUGUUUCGGCUAGGGGGCCAUCCCGGCUUACCAAACCGAUGCAAACUCCGAAUACCGAAGAAUGUUAUCACGGGAGACACACGGCGGGUGCUAACGUCCGUCGUGAAGAGGGAAACAACCCAGACCGCCAGCUAAGGUCCCAAAGUCAUGGUUAAGUGGGAAACGAUGUGGGAAGGCAUAGACAGCCAGGAUGUUGGCUUAGAAGCAGCCAUCAUUUAAAGAAAGCGUAAUAGCUCACUGGUCGAGUCGGCCUGCGCGGAAGAUGUAACGGGGCUAAACCAUGCACCGAAGCUGCGGCAGCGACGCUUAGGCGUUGUUGGGUAGGGGAGCGUUCUGUAAGCCGUUGAAGGUGGCCUGUGAGGGUUGCUGGAGGUAUCAGAAGUGCGAAUGCUGACAUAAGUAACGAUAAAGCGGGUGAAAAGCCCGCUCGCCGGAAGACCAAGGGUUCCUGUCCAACGUUAAUCGGGGCAGGGUGAGUCGACCCCUAAGGCGAGGCUGAAAAGCGUAGUCGAUGGGAAACAGGUUAAUAUUCCUGUACUUGGUGUUACUGCGAAGGGGGGACGGAGAAGGCUAGGCUAGCCGGGCGACGGUUGUCCCGGUUUAAGCGUGUAGGGGGUGUGACCUGGUAAAUCCGGUUGCAUAUUAACCCUGAGGCGUGAUGACGAUGCACUACGGUGCAGAAGUAGUUGAUGCCCUGCUUCCAGGAAAAUCCUCUAAGCUCCAGGUAACAUUAAAUCGUACCCCAAACCGACACAGGUGGUCAGGUAGAGAAUACCAAGGCGCUUGAGAGAACUCGGGUGAAGGAACUAGGCAAAAUGGUGCCGUAACUUCGGGAGAAGGCACGCUGGCAUGUAGGUGAAGUCCCUUGCGGAUGGAGCUGAAGCCAGUCGAAGAUACCAGCUGGCUGCAACUGUUUAAUAAAAACACAGCACUGUGCAAACACGAAAGUGGACGUAUACGGUGUGACGCCUGCCCGGUGCUGGAAGGUUAAUUGAUGGGGUCAGCCGCAAGGCGAAGCUCUUGAUCGAAGCCCCAGUAAACGGCGGCCGUAACUAUAACGGUCCUAAGGUAGCGAAAUUCCUUGUCGGGUAAGUUCCGACCUGCACGAAUGGCGUAAUGAUGGCCAGGCUGUCUCCACCCGAGACUCAGUGAAAUUGAACUCGCUGUGAAGAUGCAGUGUACCCGCGGCAAGACGGAAAGACCCCGUGAACCUUUACUAUAGCUUGACACUGAACAUUGAGCCUUGAUGUGUAGGAUAGGUGGGAGGCUUUGAAGCGUGGACGCCAGUCUGCGUGGAGCCAUCCUUGAAAUACCACCCUUUAAUGUUUGAUGUUCUAACUCGGCCCCAUAAUCUGGGGUGAGGACAGUGUCUGGUGGGUAGUUUGACUGGGGCGGUCUCCUCCCAAAGAGUAACGGAGGAGCACGAAGGUUAGCUAAUCACGGUCGGACAUCGUGAGGUUAGUGCAAAGGCAUAAGCUAGCUUGACUGCGAGAGUGACGGCUCGAGCAGGUACGAAAGUAGGUCUUAGUGAUCCGGUGGUUCUGAAUGGAAGGGCCAUCGCUCAACGGAUAAAAGGUACUCCGGGGAUAACAGGCUGAUACCGCCCAAGAGUUCAUAUCGACGGCGGUGUUUGGCACCUCGAUGUCGGCUCAUCACAUCCUGGGGCUGAAGUAGGUCCCAAGGGUAUGGCUGUUCGCCAUUUAAAGUGGUACGCGAGCUGGGUUUAGAACGUCGUGAGACAGUUCGGUCCCUAUCUGCCGUGGGCGUUGGAAGAUUGAGAGGGGUUGCUCCUAGUACGAGAGGACCGGAGUGAACGCACCACUGGUGUUCGGGUUGUCAUGCCAAUGGCAUUGCCCGGUAGCUAAGUGCGGAAAAGAUAAGCGCUGAAAGCAUCUAAGCGCGAAACUUGCCUCAAGAUGAGUCUUCCCUGGGCCUUUAAGG